GUUGGCCAUGGCGGGAUGACGAAGACCUUGGAGAUUCUGCGACGCCAGUUAUAUUAACCAGGUAUGACUAUUCAGGUGCGUGAAUACGUCCAGGCUUGCGAUGUGUGUAAAGAGUCCAAAGUUCAGGAUGCAUGUCGGAAUCAGAAGAAGGGUAGAGACAGAAAGGCUAUUUCAGAAGCUAUACAUUUUCUGGGCAAGUAUCCGAGGUCCAUGAGUGGGCACGCUUGGAUAUUCAUCGUGGUGGACCUCUCUUCUUGAGAACAAUGAAGAAGGCGAUGGCGCCGAACAUAGUGAAUUUAAUGGUGAACGAGGUAUUUUACAAGUUUGGAGUGCUUGAGACGAUUCAUUCGGACAACGGUAAGCAGUUCGUAUCCAAGGCGUUUGGGGGCUUCGGUAUACAGCACCUGAAGACUACGUUAUAGUCACCACAGAGCAACGCCGCGGAAAGAGUAAACAGGAACCUCUUGGGCUUGAGGAUUAAUCCCGGUUUUCUCUAAGAUUACCUUAAAAGGCACUCAUGUGUCCAAUGACCCAAUUUAGGGAGAGGCCAUGUAAAAAAAAGCUAAGAUGAUUAGCAGAAAUUGGUAUAGUCGCCAAACCAUGCAGCUAGAAGUUCUAAGUUAUGUUUUGUGCCUAAAAUUAAAUAAAUGGCGAACGGGGUCCCGACACAAAGUGCCCCGUGAGAUUUACUU